GACGAACGCUGGCGGCGUGCUUAACACAUGCAAGUCGAACGAAGCAAUUUCAUUAGUUUACUAAAGGGAUUGACUGAGUGGCGGACGGGUGAGUAACGCGUGAACAAUCUACCUAUCAGAGGGGGACAACAUCCGGAAACGGGUGCUAAUACCGCAUAAGACCACAAUGUCGCAUGGCAAAGGGGUAAAAGAAUUUCGCUGAUAGAUGAGUUCGCGUAUCAUUAGCUAGUUGGUGGGGUAACGGCCUACCAAGGCAACGAUGAUUAGCCGGCCUGAGAGGGUGAACGGCCACACUGGAACUGAGACACGGUCCAGACUCCUACGGGAGGCAGCAGUGGGGAAUAUUGGGCAAUGGGCGCAAGCCUGACCCAGCAACGCCGCGUGAGGGAAGAAGGUUUUCGGAUUGUAAACCUCUGUCCUUGGGGACGAAGAAGUGACGGUACCCAAGGAGGAAGCUCCGGCUAACUACG
rnacentral:rRNA from 1 species